rnacentral:lncRNA from 1 species
AGAGAGAGGCAGCUGCUGGCUGUGAACUUCCUGCCACGGAUUGUGCCCUUAUCAGAGCUGUACAAGGUCUCUCAGAAGGAUCCCUGUGCAGCUCCGCCUUCUCAGUCCUUUUCUUCAUGGAAUCAAAGAAUCAGCCUUUUGAUGGAAGGAAGACAUACCACAGAGAUGCUGAAUGUGUGCCCCCCUCUGCACCCAAUAUAAGGUUCAGAGAUGCUUGAAGAUCUGGGUCAGGCUGAAUGUCUCUCCAUUUGUUCUCCAGAUGGGCUGCAGUUACCAGCCCCUUGGUGACUUGUGGGCAGAUCAAAAUCGAUCCUACAGCCCCAGUUGCUCUUGGUUUCCUUCUGAGUUCCUGGGCAGGUGUUGGUACUGAAAAAAUAUGUCACAAGUCAGAGCAGCAUAAUGCAGG